CGCUGAGCGCCCUGCUGAAUCCGAAAGUCAAGCAAAAAGCAGCUGGUUAAGGUGGAAUUUGAAAAUCACUCAUAAGAUAAACAGGUUGCAACGUUAAGCACCCUCCGAGGGAAAAGCAGUGUGCAGCAUAUGUUCUUACUUUGGAAGAUAUUUAAAAAAAAAAAAAGACUUUAAUGGACCCUUUACUGGCUUAUGCUAGUGGAGCUGUUAAUUAAUUAAAUAACUAUAUGUGAAUGGCAUCCAUUGGGAAAGAGCCUCACAGCUUCCAGAUGCCAGUUAUUGGCCCCAUUACGGGCCUAAAACUAUUACAGUAAAUCAUUACAAGCUCCAAGAUGAGCUGGCACACGAUUGCUGUGAGGAAGGAUGGAGCUAUUCUCACUUGUGCCAUUUUGUGCCAGUUUUUAUCUAGGGAGAUUAAUUAGUACUUUUAGACAUGCAAGUCAGAGCUGUAAAAUAUUAAAGAAUAUUCCAUCAGUGGAAUGGAGACAAGCUGAAGCUUUUAAAACUUUGGGGCGUUGAUGGGUAGGCAGGGGUUGGAGGAGAUAAAGAGCAACGUCCAAUUUUGAUUUUUUUUUUUUAAUUUAUAGUUAGCGAGGUUGCAACGAGUCCCCUUUGCGUGCUCUGGGAAUACUCGGAGGAGGACAUCAAAGUUAAUCACGAGAGCUCAGGUGCCAGGAGGAGCUGCGGGUAGAAAAAAUAGGUAUUUCUUGGUUGUGAGGACUCACAAACGUAUUGAUAUCUCAGGAAAACCAACUUUAUCUAUCUGACUGCUUCUCCGAUGCAAAGGACAGAUCUGUGAGUGACCAGGGUAUGAAAAGUGGAGGAGACUGGCAAAAGGUUACAGAGCUCUACGUAUUUAGAUCAUGGAUUUUGAUGGAGAACAAAGUGGAAGUGAAUGCAAGCUGUUACAGUACGAAAACGGGUCGCUCACCUCUGUGUGAUGAACCUGUGGAUGCCACUACAGACCUCCAAAUCACAGCGAUUAUCACGAUCUGCUUUUGAGCACUGAGACCAACAAACUAGCGAGAAGGAGACCUGUGGGGAAACAAGGCAAGUCCUCAGUGGGGUGAGGCUCCAUCCUCUACUCCAGUCUGCCUGCAUUUAUUUUAUUUUACAAUGGACUUCUUUUGGCACAGGGAGUCACAGCUCUGAACCUUGGUAUACUGCUUCAGACAGUGAGGAAAUCUGGAACUGGAGACCACAGUGUAAGAUAAUUUGCCUUGCAUUCAGUUCCCAUUAAACUUAGCGGAGCUCGAGGGUUUCCCCAAGACUUUGACUGUUCUGCUUUGUAUGGUGAUGGCUUUCCUAGGUGAAAUGCCUUCUGUCCUAUCUGUGUGUUGCUGUCAUUCACCCCAAGAAUCCUGGAGUCAGCUAAAUGUAUGUGUUAGUCUGGGAAUUAAUUAGCACUUUUGUUUUAGUACAUCUUACCCCAUAAUUACACUAAAUGGUUUUUGGAAAGAGAAACUGAAAAAAAACCUGAAAACGUACCUGGUUCCUGGAACCUGGUUACCUGGUUCCCAAGAGUAAUGGCUUCAAAUAAGUGACACUGAGAUUCUCCAAGCAGAGGUUUGAGUAUUAGUCAGGCACCAAUCACAUAAAUAUUGGGAACUCAGGACAUUUCAAACUUUAGUAUUUUGUAAUAUCUUAUCCUAACACAAAGUUUUUUCAUUUGUGUUACUUUUAUGUUACUYUAAGAUAGACCUUGCUUUCGGAAAAAACAUCUUAGGAUCAAAAGAGAGAAAGAGAAUCAGCCUUGGUGUUCUCUGUCUGCACGUUUCCAUCUUCAGGCUCUAAUUCAGUGCUGCUGGAUAUGUAGAAGUGCAAGUUCAGAAGGAAGAGUUUGAAGUUUUAUUCUUGGCUUUCAGACGCUGCAGAAUCCUGGUCUCUGUAUAUCCAGUGUGUUUAUUUAAAUAUUGGUCUACCUAUCUAGAGCUCCUCCUGCAGUGCCUGUUAGUACUCCUUCCUACUUCUGCCAUUGCCAAUGUUACCUUUGAUCAAUCCAUGAGCAGAACAACCCUACUAGUACUAACUAAUUGCACCGUCCAGUCUGGAGUAUGGAGUAUGGAGUCAGUCCAGAAAAUGGGUCCAGAGACUCUGUCCCUUUCUUCCUUAUGCCUCUCAAAUAUCAUGUGGGUAGGAAACCAAACAUAAUAUAUGACUUACCAGAAAAGGAAGUAUAGGGAAAUUUUGCUUCCUGGAAGUGAUAUUAGUAAUGAUUAGUGAUAUUAGUAAUGGCAAUAAAACCCAAACAAACAAGAAAAGAAAAGGCUAU
rnacentral:lncRNA from 1 species